GGGGGCAACCCUGGCGGCGAGCGGCGAACGGGUGAGUAAUACAUCGGAGCGUACCCAGGAGUGGGGGAUAACACAUCGAAAGAUGUGCUAAUACCGCAUACGCCCUGAGGGGGAAAGCGGGGGAUCGCAAGACCUCGCGCUGUUGGAGCGGCCGAUGUCGGAUUAGCUAGUUGGUAGGGUAAAGGCCUACCAAGGCGACGAUCCGUAGCUGGUCUGAGAGGAUGAUCAGCCACACUGGGACUGAGACACGGCCCAGACUCCUACGGGAGGCAGCAGUGGGGAAUUUUGGACAAUGGGGGCAACCCUGAUCCAGCCAUUCCGCGUGAGUGAAGAAGGCCUUCGGGUUGUAAAGCUCUUUCGGCAGGAACGAAACGGCGGGCUCUAACAUAGCCUGUCAAUGACGGUACCUGAAGAAGAAGCACCGGCUAACUACGUGCCAGCAGCCGCGGUAAUACGUAGGGUGCGAGCGUUAAUCGGAAUUACUGGGCGUAAAGCGUGCGCAGGCGGUUUUGUAAGACAGCUGUGAAAUCCCCGGGCUUAACCUGGGAACUGCGGUUGUGACUGCAAGACUAGAGUGCGGCAGAGGGGGGUGGAAUUCCACGUGUAGCAGUGAAAUGCGUAGAGAUGUGGAGGAACACCGAUGGCGAAGGCAGCCCCCUGGGUCGACACUGACGCUCAUGCACGAAAGCGUGGGUAGCAAACAGGAUUAGAUACCCUGGUAGUCCACGCCCUAAACGAUGCCAACUAGGUGUUGGGGAAGGAGACUUCCUUAGUACCGUAGCUAACGCGUGAAGUUGGCCGCCUGGGGAGUACGGUCGCAAGAUUAAAACUCAAAGGAAUUGACGGGGACCCGCACAAGCGGUGGAUGGAUGUGGAUUAAUUCGAUGC
rnacentral:rRNA from 1 species